CCUACGUGAGGCUGCAGUGGGGAAUAUUGCACAAUGGGGGAAACCCUGAUGCAGCGACGCCGCGUGAGUGAAGAAGUAAUUCGUUAUGUAAAGCUCUAUCAGCAGGGAAGAAAAUGACGGUACCUGAGUAAGAAGCCCCGGCUGACUACGUGCCAGCAGCCGCGGUAAUACGUAGGGGGCAAGCGUUAUCCGGAUUUACUGGGUGUAAAGGGAGCGUAGACGGCAGUGCAAGUCUGGAGUGAAAGGCGGGGGCUCAACCCCCGGACUGCUCUGGAAACUGUACGGCUGGAGUGCAGGAGAGGUAAGUGGAAUUCCUGGUGUAGCGGUGAAAUGCGUAGAUAUUAGGAGGAACACCAGUGGCGAAGGCGGCUUACUGGACUGUAACUGACGUUGAGGCUCGAAAGCGUGGGGAGCAAACAGGAUUAGAUACCCUUGUAGUC
rnacentral:rRNA from 1 species